UACAGAGGGGGCAAGCGUUGUUCGGAAUUACUGGGCGUAAAGGGCGCGUAGGCGGCCUGUUAAGUCGAACGUGAAAUCCCCGGGCUCAACCCGGGAACUGCGUCCGAUACUGGCAGGCUUGAAUCCGGGAGAGGGAUGUGGAAUUCCAGGUGUAGCGGUGAAAUGCGUAGAUAUCUGGAGGAACACCGGUGGCGAAGGCGACAUCCUGGACCGGCAUUGACGCUGAGGCGCGAAAGCCAGGGGAGCAAACGGG
rnacentral:rRNA from 1 species